AGUGAACGCUGGCGGUAGGCCUAACGCAUGCGAGUCGAACGGCAGCACAGUAAGAGCUUGCUCUUACGGGUGGCGAGUGGCGGACGGGUGAGGAAUACAUCGGAAUCUACUUUUUCGUGGGGGAUAACGUAGGGAAACUUACGCUAAUACCGCAUACGACCUACGGGUGAAAGCAGGGGAUCUUCGGACCUUGCGCGAUUGAAUGAGCCGAUGUCGGAUUAACUAGUUGGCGGGGUAAAGGCCCACCAAGGCGACGAUCCGUAGCUGGUCUGAGAGGAUGAUCAGCCACACUGGAACUGAGACACGGUCCAGACUCCUACGGGAGGCAGCAGUGGGGAAUAUUGGACAAUGGGCGCAAGCCUGAUCCAGCCAUACCGCGUGGGUGAAGAAGGCCUUCGGGUUGUAAAGCCCUUUUGUUGGGAAAGAAAAGCAGCAGGUUAAUACCCCGCUGUUCUGACGGUACCCAAAGAAUAAGCACCGGCUAACUUCGUG
rnacentral:rRNA from 1 species